ACUAAUCAUAAUUACAAUAUAUUUGUUAGCAUUUUCAUUUCAUUAUGAAAUCUAUUUAAAGUAAUGCUUUUCUCUGUAGUUUAUAAUUGGAUUUGCCAAGCGUUGAUAACUUGCUGCCCACAAUUUGGCAACAUCGUUUGCGGCUGCAAAAGCAUAAUUUAAUUGCCGUUUGUUAUUACAGCUAAACAAUGAAUUCCCUUCCGAAUGCAGUCAGAAAACAAUUUGGGAAAUUUGAGGAAAUCUCAUUUCACUGCGGCUCCACCACUGGGACCAGCCUUCUGGCACUAUAGUUUCAACUAAUUCAAACAACAGGAGCGCAAAAAAAGGAACAAGGAUAACAAUGGAGAGAAGCUUUUUGUUGAAGGCAGAUUGUACGGGUUUUCCCAUGAGAGAAUCUGCUCCAGAAACUGCAGUGGCUGUCGGAGGUGGAGCAGCGGGGGAAGCAGGCAACAGCAGCAACAAUGGCUCCAAAAACCACGCCCGAACUUUGACAUUUUGCCUGCAGAUGGCAAUGGGCGGCAUUUUAUCUAUGUCUAGCAUGGUAGGCCAAUUCACUAAGCCAAUUUGGGACUUUCAGCAGCUACAAUCAGCCAAUUAGCUUCGGGCGCAGCUACGGCACAUGGUAAAGGAAGAUGGCGAAAAAUCACAGGAAUACCUACCGAAUGCAAACAACAGAGAGAGAGAGAGAGAGAGAGAGACACACAGAAAUAGAUGCAAAAGGCAGCUGCCUCACUAUCCUGCAGGUGUUUUCUCCUGGGGGGUACUAGCCCCUGCAAUCUAACUGCAAUGCUUUCCGCCUUUUGUUCUUUUAUCAGCCAAGAGACACUCGUACACACACAGUUGUUGUUUGCCCAUUGAAACAGCUGCCGGGCGCAAUAAAUUUGUAGUUAUGCGGGCGCCUGUAACCAGAAACCUAAUGGAGAAGUUUAUGAAAGCUGCCAACGGAAAUCACUAAGUGCACAAGGGCUUCAGGAUUUGUCAUUUAAUGUUUGAAAGGAAACGAUAAGCUGCUUACUAUAACAUUCAACAAAAGCUGCAUGCUAUGAAACUCGGCCUUUCUAUGUACAUAUAAAUAGCAUUAUUCUUUAAAUAUAUUAAGCCAAUUUGGAACAA